UCCCCUGUAGCUCAAUUGGCUAGAGCGUCUGACUGUUAAUCAGGAGGUCGAAAGUUCGAGUCUUUCCGGGGGAG
rnacentral:tRNA from 1 species